rnacentral:tRNA from 1 species
GCGGGUGUGGCGGAACUGGCAGACGCACGAGAUUUAGGUUCUCGCGCCGCAAGGUGUGCAGGUUCGAUUCCUGUCACCCGCACCA